GGACGUAAAAAAUAUGUAUUGUAGAAAUGAUCAGACUUUCAGGUAAAGCGCAUGAAAUAUAUGUGGAUCUGACCACUUUUGAUAUAUGGGAACUGACUUGCAACAACAUGUGGUGUCACCACUUGAAGGAAUAUCAAAGACAUAAUGUAGACAUAACAACGUUCUACACCUAUUUUACAUUUUAAACUCCCACAUGUUCCCCUUGAAACGAACAAUAUAACUAUCAUUGGCAUCUCCCUCUACUCCGUCACCAUCAUGGCUUCUGGGAUGCUCUGCCAUGACUCUGUGAAUAACAUCUAGUGCUUGCUUAAAGUUGAUUUUAUAUUUCCAAAAGGUCUCCUUCCACAUGUCUAUUUGCUUGUACAAAUCGACGGGGCUCAUCCUUUUGUCACAGGUGUGGAUGAUACCUUGUUCUACUAGAUUGUCAUCUUCUAAAAAGACCCACAGAACAGUAGAGGCACCCACAACCAUACUAGAAUAAAUGAGAAAGAACAGUCAUGUCGUGCAUGCAAACCAAUGACAUAAAAUAGACGACAUAGUCAUGUAUCAAAUGCAUACCCGUCAAAUAAACUCAUAUUCAGUGAUUUAGGAGGGUACGGUAGGAUGCAUUACCUUCCAAUCCUGGCAUUCAAGGAAGAAUCGAUUGAAGAUCAUCAUUUCCACAAUCCUUUGGCCACAUGGAAGAUCACAAGAGCACCUCAUUGUCUUCCAUGAAUCAUUAUCGGUCGGCCUGAUAUCUGUAGAUGUCAUGGUGUGGAAACGACCUUGGUGUAAUGUCCUUGGAUCCAAAUUACGCAUUUCUAGGAGAUGUCAAUGCAUAGCGGCAAGUGUGGGAAGGAGAAUUAGUUUCCAAUAAUGAUAAGAACUAAGUGAAGGUUUCUUGUGUAUUUAAAGGGGGGAAUGGGCAGCCUAGGAGAUGGA
rnacentral:lncRNA from 1 species